rnacentral:rRNA from 1 species
UACGUAGGGGGCAAGCGUUGUCCGGAUUUAUUGGGCGUAAAGAGCGUGUAGGCGGCUAGGUAGGUCCGUUGUGAAAACUCGAGGCUCAACCUCGAGACGUCGAUGGAAACCAUCUAGCUAGAGUCCGGAAGAGGAGAGUGGAAUUCCUGGUGUAGCGGUGAAAUGCGCAGAUAUCAGGAAGAACACCCGUGGCGAAGGCGGCUCUCUGGUACGUGACUGACGCUGAGACGCGAAAGCGUGGGAGCAAACAGG